rnacentral:rRNA from 1 species
UCCUACGGGAGGCAGCAGUAGGGAAUCUUCCGCAAUGGACGAAAGUCUGACGGAGCAACGCCGCGUGAGUGAUGAAGGUUUUCGGAUCGUAAAACUCUGUUGUUAGGGAAGAACAAGUGCUAGUUGAAUAAGCUGGCACCUUGACGGUACCUAACCAGAAAGCCACGGCUAACUACGUGCCAGCAGCCGCGGUAAUACGUAGGUGGCAAGCGUUAUCCGGAAUUAUUGGGCGUAAAGCGCGCGCAGGUGGUUUCUUAAGUCUGAUGUGAAAGCCCACGGCUCAACCGUGGAGGGUCAUUGGAAACUGGGAGACUUGAGUGCAGAAGAGGAAAGUGGAAUUCCAUGUGUAGCGGUGAAAUGCGUAGAGAUAUGGAGGAACACCAGUGGCGAAGGCGACUUUCUGGUCUGUAACUGACACUGAGGCUCGAAAGCGUGGGUAGCAAACAGGAUUAGAUACCCUGGUAGUCCACGCCGUAAACGAUGAGUGCUAGUUGUUUGGGGCUAUCCAGCCCUAAGUGACGCAGCAAACGCAUUAAGCACUCCGCCUGGGGAGUACGACCGCAAGGUUGAAACUCAAAGGAAUUGACGGA